rnacentral:misc_RNA from 1 species
GAUGAAGAACGUAGCGAAAUGCGAUAAGUAAUGUGAAUUGCAGAAUUCAGUGAAUCAUCGAAUCUUUGAACGCACCUUGCGCCCUUUGGCCAUUCCGAAGGGCAUGCCUGUUUGAGUAUCAUGAACACCUCAACUCUUCAUGGUUUUCCAUGAUGAGCUUGGACUUUGGGGGUCUUGCUGGCCUGUGGGUCGGCUCCUCUCAAAUGAAUCAGCUUGCCGGUUUUUGGUGGGCAUCACAGGUGUGAUAACUAUCUACGCUUGUGGUUUUCCACCAGGGUAACCUUCAGCAGUGGAGGUUCACUGGAGCUUACAAAUGUCUCUCCUCUGUGAGGACAGCCCUUUGAAUGUUUGAUCUCAAAUCAGGUAGGACUACCCGCUGAACUUAAGCAUAUCAAUAAGCGGAGGG